rnacentral:rRNA from 1 species
UAGGGAAUCUUCGGCAAUGGGGGGAACCCUGACCGAGCAACGCCGCGUGAGUGAAGAAGGUUUUCGGAUCGUAAAGCUCUGUUGUUAAGGAAGAAAGAGUGUGAGAAUGGAAAGUUCAUACUGUGACGGUACUUAACCAGAAAGGGACGGCUAACUACGUGCCAGCAGCCGCGGUAAUACGUAGGUCCCGAGCGUUGUCCGGAUUUAUUGGGCGUAAAGCGAGCGCAGGCGGUUAGAUAAGUCUGAAGUUAAAGGCAGUGGCUCAACCAUUGUAGGCUUUGGAAACUGUUUAACUUGAGUGCAGAAGGGGAGAGUGGAAUUCCAUGUGUAGCGGUGAAAUGCGUAGAUAUAUGGAGGAACACCGGUGGCGAGAGCGGCUCUCUGGUCUGUAACUGACGCUGAGGCUCGAAAGCGUGGGGAGCGAACAGG